GGCUCGACCGCGAAUGAGGGGCACUGAUGUCAAGGACUUGUUCCUCCUUACCGAGAAAGUGUCGUCGAGCGACUGCUGAAAAACUUUCUGCACUCCACGAGUGUGCUGCGCUCGCCUUCCCGGAGAAGAGAAGAGAGGAGAAGAGAGGAGAAGAGAAGAGAAGAGAAGAGAAGAGAAGAGAAGAGAAGAGAAGAGAAGAGGCAUCGAUCGAUCGGAGCUCGCGUUUCACCGGAGGAGCAAAGUGCCUCGGUUGUUUGGUAAGUGUGGUCUUUCAUCAUAUAGCUCGCCUUCACGGACAUCAACAACGGACUGACUCAGCUAAACUCUAUAACUGGGGAGGUCUGUUUAUUUAAUUUGGCGAUAUAAUCCUGUUGGUGAUGGAGGUCAUUUAUGAAUAGCAAUAGUGUCGUUUGUUUCUUGACACAGGAAAUCUUUGCUGAUCCUCUCUCAUUUAGGUUUGGGGUUUAUGGCCUGCUGAUUAGUGAAGCCUAUGUGUCUCCAAAUUCAUAAUUAAUAUUGCUACAUAUCUACACAUUGCAUUAUAUGCAUUCAGAUGUUAUUUUUUAACCUUCACUGCUCAUGUAAGAGUUAAUAUGCGAUCACAUAAGUCAGAAAUGUUUUCCUUAUUUGUAGAAACAUUUAAAAAUAUAUUAUAUAUAGCUAUAUAUAAUAUGAAUUUUUCUGUUUUUCGAUAACAGUAUCUUAUUGAUUUUAAUACAUGAAAAUAAUGUAAUAAAAAAAAUAUCAUGAUACUUAAAGUGAAUAUUAAAAUUGCUUCCUCAAAAAGUAUUUGUAUUAAAUGUGCACAUCACUAUAAUAAUUUACUCUGUUUUACAUUAAACUUGUAAUUUUUUCCCCCUCUUCUUAUAUACAAAGUUUAAAGAAGACAAGGUAGUCAAAGACGCCAACCAUCUUUCUAAAACACAUUUCUCUUUAAUGUUUAUAUAUAAACAUCUCUGUAAGUCACCGUGUAUGGCGCUUGUUCUUUCACAAAGUUCAGUAAUGCAGAAGUCAAACAGUCUUGUGAUUUAUAAUGUUGACAGUGAGAAAGCAAGCUGAAUUUGGGGGGUGUUUCCUCAGACUCCAGGCAGGUAUGGGCAAGUGAUAGAUCUUUUUCCUCCAACUUAACUUAACUGGUAUUAGCACCAUCAAUGAACGGUAAAAUAUUCUGCAGGCAAAGACUUCAAUCCCUCUGUAUAAACCAAAUGUUACUGAAAAGCCGUGUAAAAACGAAUAAAUGCUCCUGUUCCACCAAGAACUGAGUCGUCUUUGACAUCUGAGAUUACUUUUGGCUUAUUUCCGAGGUACAACUUUCUGGAGCCAGAGCCGAACUGAAUCAAGGAUAUAUGGCCUGCACCCUUUUGUGAAGCCUUUGGAAAGCGUCGGAGCACAGAGCGUGGACAUUCACUGCACAUUGUGAAUGCUGGGCUCUCUGAACGGCAUUAGAGCUGAUAUGAGCUGGGCUCAAUGACUGACAGUAUUUUACUGGGUUAGCUUGAUGCAUGGUACCAUGGAGAGCAACAAUCUUCAACUGAGAUCACAUUUAAGUGAAGGACGUAAUGAACAGCUGUGGUUGAUGAUAUCGGUCUAUGAGGAUAUCUAUACUGUAGGAGUCAUUGGUCCAUCUAAACCCCACCUCACUGCACUGCUCCACUCGAGGUCAAGAGGUCAGCUGAGGUCACAGGUGAAAGCGUCAGGCCACACAGGAGCCUCCCUACUGGACGGAGGUUAACUGGAUGUCCUGUUUUCACUGGAUCAUCAAGAGCUCACUUCCUGUAUAACCAUUAAGACACGUCAAGACGAGAGAGCAGUGCUUGCGACCAUGUCCCAUUGUUGUUGUUGCUUCCGUACUCUGUUCCUGGUUUAUGCAUUAGUGUGCUUUCAGCCUUGAAUGUGAACCAUGUGAACUAUACUCUAAUCUUGCCAUAUAAACAUUGUAUUUUGUACAUAAUGCAUUUUCCCACUAAUCACUAGGGAUUACAACAGCAUUACUUCUUUUACUUACAUUUCUUUUAAUCAGAUAUAUACAGUAGGUGCUGUAUAAUAAUCACACCAUCCUCAUCCAGUUAAAGGACAUUAUAUAAAAGAUGGUUUAAGAGAAAUAAGAAAGUGUGCAAGCCAAAUUCAAACUCUUAUCUCCCACACGAUAACCAUACUUUAAAAGUGUGUAAUUUGGUAAAAACGUGCUCAAUUAAAGACCAAAAUAUUUUUCAAGAA